rnacentral:rRNA from 1 species
CUUGACUCCCAUAAGAGGUCCAGCCUGCCCAGUGAUACUAUUAAACGGCCGCGGUACUCUGACCGUGCGAAGGUAGCAUAAUAACUUGUUCUUUAAAUGGGGACUAGCAUGAACGGCAUCACGAGGGUCUCACUGUCUCCUUUUUCUAAUCAGUGAAACUGAUCUCCCCGUGAAGAAGCGGGGAUAAAAAUAUAAGACGAGAAGACCCCAUGGAGCUUUAAACCCAAUAGACACCUCUGACUAAUCUAACCCAAAACACUUCUUAAGUUCUGUCUAUUGGUUUUAGGUUGGGGUGACCACGGAGUACAAUAAAUCCUCCAUGACGUACGGGACUUCCCUCUUAUCCUUGAACCACAUUUCUAAGAAUCAACAAAUUGACAUUUGAUGAUCCAAAAUUUUGAUCAACGUACCA